rnacentral:lncRNA from 1 species
AGGUUAUAGAUGGUCUAUGUGCUGCCGUAGGAGCGAGGAGAAAGCUAAGGCAAUGUGGCCGAGGAGAGCAGUUUCCACCGUGUGGUGAGGAUGGAACACAGAGCCCAGGGAGGUCAGAGGCCCCGGGCCAGGGGACGUGAGGAUUCUAGUGCCCGCUUCUGCAGGAGCCACACCGCACCGCACAGCACCGCACCUGUCUUCCCCUCGGGUCCUGCUCUCUGCGGGGCUGGGGAGGAGGCUGUGGUAAGGGAAGGAACCCGGGUGGGAAGGAGCAGGUGGUUGGGAGCAGCGGGAGGGGCGGGGAGGGGGACGAAGCCGUGGCAUUCCCAGAACGCGGAGGCUGGAGGGGAAAGCGGUGGCCCAUCCAGCCGGCUCCCUAGGCAAGGUCAGCUCCACACUCCCACCCCGGCCGCUGCCCGAGGGAGGCCGCUUCAAAUCACUCAUACUUGGAGGAUCGAUGAGAGUUCGAGGCUAGCCUGGGCUAUAUAGUAAGUGCAAGCCAACCUGUG